ensembl:lncRNA
CCUGGGACCCUGUCCCCUCCCUGUCUCACCAGGUAACACACCUGGUACCCUGUCCCCUCCCUGUCUCACCAGGUAACACAACUGGUACCCUGUCCCCUCCCUGUCUGCUGUCUCACCAGCUAACACACCUGGUACCCUGUCCCCCCCUGUCUCACCAGGUAACACACCUGGUACCCUGUCCCCUCCCUGUCUCACCAGGUAACACACCUGGUACCCUGUCCCCUCCCUGUCUCACCAGGUAACACACCUGGUACCCUGUCCCCUCCCUGUCUCACCAGGUACCACACCUGGUACCCUGUCCCCUCCCUGUCUCACCAGGUAACACACCUGGUCCCAUCCCUGUCUGCUGUCUCACCAGGUAACACACUUGGUACCCUGUCCCCUCCCUGUCUCACCAGGUAACACACUUGGUACCCUGUCCCCUCCCUGUCUCACCAGGUAACACACUUGGUACCCUGUCCCCUCCCUGUCUCACCAGGUAGCACACUUGGUCCCCUGUCCCC